CAACUUCGGUUAUAAGAGCCCUCGAAGAUGACGAGGUUAAUAGGUUCGAGGUGGAAGCGUGGUGACACGUGGAGCUGACGAAUACUAAUCGAUCGAAGACUUAAUCAAUUU
rnacentral:rRNA from 1 species